rnacentral:rRNA from 1 species
AAUUGGAUUGAGAACAACGUACAACUCUUAUCGAUAAGCCAUUGGAGGGCAAGUCUGGUGCCAGCAGCCGCGGUAAUUCCAGCUCCAAUAGCGUAUAUUAACGUUGUUGCAGUUAAAAAGCUCGUAGUUGAAGUGAGGGAGUGUGUGUUCAUGAGAGUUAGUCUCGAGUGUUCACAACCUCCCCCCUCCGAUCGGUGUAGUGGGGUAUUCAGUUAUUUCACCACUCCUUUGGUCGUUUACUGUGAGAAAAUUAGAGUGUUCAAAGCGGGCGUUUGUUUGAAUAGAUUAGCAUGGAAUAACGAUUGAAGGCUUUCGUGUUCGAUUUGAUUGGUUUGUUCAUGGAAGCAAGGUUAAAAGGAACAGUUGGGGGUAUUCAUAUUCACUAGUUAGAGGUGAAAUUCUCGGAUUUAUGGAAGAUGAACAGGUGCGAAAGCAUUUACCAAGGAUGUUUUCAUUAAUCAAGAACGAAAGCUAGGGGAUCGAAGAGGAUUAGAUACCCUCGUAGUCUUAGCUAUAAACGAUACCGACUAGGGGUUAGUAGAGGUCAAUGUGUCUCUAUUAGUACCUUAUGAGAAAUCAAAGUCUUUGGGUUCCGGGGGGAGUAUGGUCGCAAGGCUGAAACUUAAAGGAAUUGACGGAAGGGCACCACCAGGAGUGGAGCCUGCGGCUUAAUUUGACCAAACACGGGGAAACUUACCAGGUCCAGACAUAGGAAGGAUUGACAGAUUGAUAGCUCUUUCUUGAUUCCAUGGGUGGUGGUGCAUGGCCGUUCUUAGUUGGUGGAGUGAUUUGUCUGGCUAAUUCCGAUAACGAACGAGACCUCCGCCUUUAACUAGUGUUGGCUAUUGUGAUAGCUGAUACUUCUUGGAGGGACACUAUACGUAAAGUGUAGGGAAGCUGGAGGCAAUAACAGGUCUGUGAUGCCCUUAGAUGUUCUGGGCUGCACGCGCGCGACACUGAUCUAUUCAACGAGUGGCUGUGUCGAUAGACUUGGCAAAUCUUGUGAAAGUAGAUCGUGAUGGGGAUUGAUGCUUGUAAUUGUUCAUCAUGAACGAGGAAUUCCUAGUAAACGCAAGUCAUCAACUUGCAUUGAUUACGUCCCUGCCCUUUGUACACACCGCCCGUCGCACCUACCGAUUGAAUGGUCCGGUGAACACUUUGGAUUUUAGGCGAAUGAACUGUAAAAGGGGAGUUCGUUUGGGAGAAGUCGUGUAAAUCUUAUCAU